AUAUCUGUCUCAGAGGACAUAAGCGGGGACGAAACAGAUGACUAUGCUGAGAUCAUAGAUGAAGAGGACACCUACACUAUGCCAUCAACUAGAGACUAUGAGAUCCAGAGGGAGAGGAUUGAGCUGGGCCGCUGCAUUGGAGAAGGGCAGUUUGGAGACGUUCACCAGGGAGUGUACAUCAGCCCGG